rnacentral:rRNA from 1 species
UGGGGAAUCUUGCGCAAUGGUCGAAAGACUGACGCAGCGACGCCGCGUGUGGGAGGACGCCUUUCGGGGUGUAAACCACUGUUGCCCGGGACGAACUGCUCGAUUCGUCGAGCUUGACGGUACCGGGUGAGGAAGCACCGGCUAACUCCGUGCCAGCAGCCGCGGUAAUACGGAGGGUGCGAGCGUUGUCCGGAAUCAUUGGGCGUAAAGGGCGCGUAGGUGGCCCGGUCAGUUCGUGGUGAAAGCGCGGGGCUCAACCCCGCGUCGGCCAUGAAUACUGCUAGGCUUGAGCACUGUAGAGGCAGGCGGAAUUCCGGGUGUAGCGGUGGAAUGCGUAGAGAUCCGGAAGAACACCGGUGGCGAAGGCGGCCUGCUGGGCAGUAGCUGACACUGAGGCGCGACAGCGUGGGGAGCAAACA